UAAAUGAAAUAAAUAUACAAUUUUUCCAAGCUUAAAAAUUUAAUUUUGUAAUCGAUACCAGGACUGGGAUCGCUGGUUGUGAAGAACCAGCAACUAGUGAACGCGGUUGUCCAAAGGUUUCAAAGAUAGCAGACCCCUACAACAGCUGCCAUGAGCUUCGGGGCCGGCAACCAUGGCGCUCUGGGCUUGCCCACUUCCUUAAUGGGCCUUGGUGUGGACGCCUACGAGCCCACUCGGGUCCCUUCUCUACCUCCUGACAUCACCGGCGUCACCGCUGGGGCAUUACCACUCCCUGGCCGUCACUUCCGAAGGUCAGCUUUGGGCAUGGGGGCCGAGACCUCGAGGCCCAGCUCGGCCGUGGAGGUCCCCUUCUCCGAGUGAUUCGUGGAAUGAACCAAUGAGAGUAACGGGACUGGAUCAAGUAAAUGUUUGCUCUGCAUUUGCAUCCGGUGUCAUUUCUGCGGCCAUUGGAGAUGAUGGUUCUCUGUGGGUUUGGGGAAAGUCAAAGCGUGGCCAACUUGGUCUGGGAGAGCUAGUCAUGGAGGCUGUGGAGUUGAAGCACUUGCUGGAGAGAAAAUAACUACCAACCGUGGAUGUAAGGGAUGACAGCGAUCGACGGCUUGGGAGUGAUGACCGGCACUUCCAGUUCGGAAAUCCCAAAACUGGGUAUUGCUACCCGGAUGACCUCAUGGUGCAGUGUGAGGAGUGCAAGGACUGGUUUCAUCCAGCAUGCAUGAACAUCUCAAAUGAAGUAGCCAAAAAAUUGGUCUAUGGGUGUUGUUAACAUUUAUAGAAGGCAGCAUUUUGUUAAUUAUCCGGGAAGUCUUUGAAUGAAUGGAUUGUUUUUUGCUAUUCAGCAUGUGCUAUUGAGUUAUGAACUAUGUCUUGUACUAUGACUAGUUCUAUUUUUCUAAUGAGACUAGGCAGUGUUGUUGCUGUUACUAUGUACACUGAUUUUACUGGACUGAGUAAUCAAAAUUUGUGACCUUUUGCAGGGGGACCCUAAGCACCGAAACAAAUGACUUAAAUUGCAAGAGGCGAUACAAAAUGCUGUGCUGCUGUUUGUGUUCUUGCUGGUGCUCUUGGAUUGCUAUCAUGUAGUAUGUGGAUUUGGAGUAGGGUUUCCGGAGGGUUUCAGGGCUUGUUAUCCAGGAGAUUAGGCUUGUAUUGAAAGUUUUUUUUUUUUUUUGGUAUCUCAACAAUCAAACCGUGGAAUAACUGGAAUCUCUUGGUACGACAAAUUGCUGGUUGCGACUUUC